rnacentral:rRNA from 1 species
CCUACGGGUGGCAGCAGUGAGGAAUAUUGGUCAAUGGGAGAGAUCCUGAACCAGCCAAGCCGCGUGAGGGAAGACGGCCCUAUGGGUUGUAAACCUCUUUUGUCGGAGAACCAAACCCGGGACGUGUCCCGGACUGCGUGUAUCCGAAGAAAAAGCAUCGGCUAACUCCGUGCCAGCAGCCGCGGUACUACGUAGGGGGCAAGCGUUAUCCGGAUUUACUGGGGGGAAAGGGGGCGCCGACGGCGAUGCAAGCAAGGAGUGAAAGCCCGGGGCCCAACCCCGGGACUGCUCUUGGAAAUGCGUGGCUAGAGUGCAGGAGGGGCAGGCGGAAUUCCUGGUGUAGCGGUGAAAGGCGUAGAUAUCAGGAGGAACACCGGUGGCGAAGGCGGCCUGCUGGACUGCAACUGACGUUGAGGCCCGAAAGCGUGGGGAGCAAACAGGAUUAGAUACCCCUGUAGUC